CCUACGGGAGGCAGCAGUGAGGAAUAUUGGUCAAUGGACGAGAGUCUGAACCAGCCAAGUAGCGUGAAGGAUGACUGCCCUAUGGGUUGUAAACUUCUUUUAUAUGGGAAUAAAACGUUCCACGUGUGGGAUUUUGUAUGUACCAUAUGAAUAAGGAUCGGCUAACUCCGUGCCAGCAGCCGCGGUAAUACGGAGGAUCCGAGCGUUAUCCGGAUUUAUUGGGUUUAAAGGGAGCGUAGGUGGAUUGUAAAGUCAGUUGUGAAAGUUUGCGGCUCAACCGUAAAAUUGCAGUUGAAACUGGCAGUCUUGAGUACAGUAGAGGUGGGCGGAAUUCGUGGUGUAGCGGUGAAAUGCUUAGAUAUCACGAAGAACUCCGAUUGCGAAGGCAGUUCACUGGACUGCAACUGACACUGAGGCUCGAAAGUGUGGGUAUCAAACAGGAUUAGAUACCCCUGUAGUC
rnacentral:rRNA from 1 species